rnacentral:lncRNA from 1 species
GUGUUCCCGGCCCUCUCUCCAUGAAGAAGGCAGUGCCUGUGGGUGUCGCCGUUGCCGGGACUGUCUGAAACACGCAGGCGUGUGGCUCUCGUUCAUUUCUAAGUAGGAGACCAGACCGAGACCCCAGAGAGAAGAUGCCUCUCCGGCGUGAUGGCCUGACGAUGGAUUCCCUUAUGCGGCAACUUGGGGAGUCUGCAGUGUGGCCGGUUUGGAAACUGGCAAGGAGAGCGAAGGCACCAUGCCGGUCUUCAACCCUUCCCUUCAUGUUUCCGGGUGCCCGCAGAGCUCCGGGAGAAAACAGUCAGCAUGACACAUCUCUGAACUGAUCAA